rnacentral:rRNA from 1 species
CCUACGGGAGGCUGCAGUAGGGAAUAUUGCUCAAUGGGGGAAACCCUGAAGCAGCAACGCCGCGUGGAGGAUGAAGGUCCUCGGAUUGUAAACCCCUUUUGUUAGAGAAGAUAAUGACGGUAUCUAACGAAUAAGCACCGGCUAACUCCGUGCCAGCAGCCGCGGUAAUACGGAGGGUGCAAGCGUUACUCGGAAUCACUGGGCGUAAAGAGCGCGUAGGCGGGAUAGCAAGUCAGAUGUGAAAUCCUAUGGCUUAACCAUAGAACUGCAUUUGAAACUGUUAGUCUAGAGUAUGGGAGAGGUAGGUGGAAUGCGUGGUGUAGGGGUAAAAUGCGUAGAGAUCAAGAGGAAUACUCAUUGCGAAGGCGACCUGCUAGAACAUAACUGACGCUGAUGCGCGAAAGCGUGGGGAGCAAACAGGAUUAGAUACCCUUGUAGUC